rnacentral:rRNA from 1 species
GGGGAAUUGUUCGCAAUGGGCGCAAGCCUGACGACGCAACGCCGCGUGGAGGAUGAAGACCUUCGGGUCGUAAACUCCUUUCGAUCGAGACGAAUGGCCUCCGGGUGAACAAUCCGGAGGAAUGACGGUACCGAGAGAAGAAGCCCCGGCUAACUCCGUGCCAGCAGCCGCGGUAAUACGGGGGGAGCAAGCGUUGUUCGGAUUUACUGGGCGUAAAGGGCGCGUAGGCGGCCACCGCAAGUCGACUGUGAAAUCUCCGGGCUUAACCCGGAAAGGUCAGCCGAUACUGCGGGGCUAGAGUGCAGAAGGGGCAACUGGAAUUCUCGGUGUAGCGGUGAAAUGCGUAGAUACCGAGAGGAACACCUGCGGCGAAGGCGGGUUGCUGGGCUGACACUGACGCUGAAGCGCGAAAGCUAGGGGAGCGAAC